CCUACGGGGGGCUGCAGUGGGGAAUAUUGCACAAUGGGGGAAACCCUGAUGCAGCGACGCCGCGUGAGCGAAGAAGUAUUUCGGUAUGUAAAGCUCUAUCAGCAGGGAAGAAAAUGACGGUACCUGACUAAGAAGCCCCGGCUAACUACGUGCCAGCAGCCGCGGUAAUACGUAGGGGGCAAGCGUUAUCCGGAUUUACUGGGUGUAAAGGGAGCGUAGACGGCAUAGUAAGUCUGAUGUGAAAGGCGGGGGCUCAACCCCUGGACUGCAUUGGAAACUAUUAAGCUGGAGUGUCGGAGAGGUAAGUGGAAUUCCUAGUGUAGCGGUGAAAUGCGUAGAUAUUAGGAGGAACACCAGUGGCGAAGGCGGCUUACUGGACGAUAACUGACGUUGAGGCUCGAAAGCGUGGGGAGCAAACAGGAUUAGAUACCCUAGUAGUC
rnacentral:rRNA from 1 species